GUGCCAGCCGCCGCGGUAAUACGGAGGGUGCAAGCGUUAUCCGGAAUCAUUGGGUUUAAAGGGUCCGCAGGCGGGUAAAUAAGUCAGAGGUGAAAUCCGGCAGCUCAACUGUCGCACUGCCUUUGAUACUGUUUAUCUUGAAUUUUAGUGGAGUGGGCGGAAUAUGUCAUGUAGCGGUGAAAUGCUUAGAUAUGACGUGGAACACCGAUAGCGAAGGCAGCUCACUAACUAUGAAUUGACGCUCAUGGACGAAAGCGUGGGUAGCAAACAGGAUUAGAUACCCUGGUAGUCCACGCCGUAAACGAUGAUUACUCGUUGUUGGGUCUUCGGACUCAGUGACUAAGCGAAAGUGAUAAGUAAUCCACCUGGGGAGUACGAUCGCAAGGUUGAA
rnacentral:rRNA from 1 species